rnacentral:lncRNA from 13 species
CUAAAUCUAGAGCACUUCUUAUACCCCACCAUAUCAUUGCUCUGUAGGUCCUGCAGACAACGCUGUUGGCUCCUGUGGGAAGUUUCCAAAAUGGCUCAAGGCAUUUAGAAAUAAAGUACAUUCUUUGGUCACGGUAGAAACACUAAACAGUAUAUGUAAAAUGGCUAUCAGAAGACUCUGAAGAGUAGAGAGAAGAAACAGGACUUCUUAGGACCUGAAGAAAUACAUGAGCCUGACCCUAUGGAUUUGGAGAGGUUCUCAUGUCUUCUAACAUCCUCUAGGUUCAGAGAUGGGGAGCCCCAGAAGUUUAGAGAGGAGUUGCAGAAUAAGGACUAACUCUAUUGCUGGCCUUGAUUCCUCAAGAUGGCGGAAACUAGGACAGCUGACAACUCCUGAACUUAAAACCUCAUGGAUUCAUCA